UAGUACGAGAGGACCGGGAUGGACGUACCUCUGGUGUACCAGUUGUCCUGCCAAGGGCAUGGCUGGGUAGCUAUGUGCGGAAUGGAUAAGCGCUGAAAGCAUCUAAGCGCGAAGCCAACUUCAAGAUAAGAUUUCCCACCGCAAGGGUAAGACCCCAGAAAGACUAUCUGGUUGAUAGGUCGAAGGUGUAAGUGCAGCAAUGUA
rnacentral:rRNA from 1 species